GCUUGUCAGAACACUGGUUCAACAGGUUCUCAAUAUUCCCUUGGUAAUCUGUUGGCGGUAUACUACACGACAGAAAGCAGUCAGUUUAUUAUGCAUUAUUUGGGUGGCUCAGGGGGCAGGUAUUAAAUACAAGUUCUGUUUGGUACGUUUCAUAUGGCCAACGUACUUAAAUGCUCUUACCAAAAAAUAUUCUUAUUAUGAUUAAAUAUGCAGGUGCAUACCCUCUCCCUUUUGGCCAUGCAGAUUCUUUAUUCAAAUUUUGCCAAACAACACGAUGAAACAUCUAUGCGAACCGCGUUGUCUGGAAAAAGUAGAAAGAGUUGAUCAAAAGUCUUCACUUAUUUUAUUUCUUUUGUUAUUCAAUUACUAAUUGGCCUUAUUGUUUUUACAAUUUUGCAAUGGAUAAGAAAAUACAAAACCAGCAUAUUUUCGGUAGUGUUAGACUUUAAAUUAAUCCAGAUAGAAUUAGCGCGUAUCUGCGAUUUGCUAGACUUGCCGCAAGCCCGCCGCGCGAAAUAUAAUUGAUGUCGUUGAAAAGGACAGUCUAAUAAUUUGCCUGAGACCAUUCUCCGGGUUCGAUAAAUCCUUUUUGGAGUACCGGAUCAAUUAUGGGUCUUCAAAUAGUAAGGGAUUUGUGGACAAAAUUCAUCCAUUACACACACUCUAGUACUUGCCUCAAAAUGUUAGUUCAACCAAAGACAAAGCAGGGUUUGCUAACGUAAUUCCAUAAGUGUAUUUUCUAAUAGCUGCACCACUCGACUAACAAAAUCGCUUGAAUCCUUGAGAUUCAUGAUUAUAUAAUGUUUUAGAGAACUAAAUGUCAUAUUGAAUUACGAAAGAGGAAAGGAAGGAAGUGCUUCAGCUGUUGCUGAAAAUAAUAAGAACGAUUAUGUA